GACGAACGCUGGUGGCGUGCUUAACACAUGCAAGUCGAACGGUGGAGCCCAGCUUGCUGGGUGGAUCAGUGGCGAACGGGUGAGUAACACGUGAGCAACCUGCCCUCCACUUCGGGAUAAGCCUUGGAAACGAGGUCUAAUACCGGAUAUGAGCGCCUGCCGCAUGGUGGGUGUUGGAAAGUUUUUCGGUGGGGGAUGGGCUCGCGGCCUAUCAGCUUGUUGGUGGGGUAAUGGCCUACCAAGGCGUCGACGGGUAGCCGGCCUGAGAGGGCGACCGGCCACACUGGGACUGAGACACGGCCCAGACUCCUACGGGAGGCAGCAGUGGGGAAUAUUGCACAAUGGGCGAAAGCCUGAUGCAGCGACGCCACGUGAGGGAUGACGGCCUUCGGGUUGUAAACCUCUUUCAGCAGGGAAGAAGCGCAAGUGACGGUACCUGCAGAAGAAGCGCCGGCUAACUACGUGCCAGCAGCCGCUGUAA
rnacentral:rRNA from 1 species